UCCAAAUUUGUACUGCUCUAGGUGGAAGAGAGUUUUAUGAUGCAGAAGAAACAAUUAAAUUAUUGGCCCAAUUCCAAAUCCCCAAACCUAAUAUCCGUUUUGAUCUCUCUCUAGCCUCUACAGACCUAUAAGUAAACCAUUUUUUCCAAUUUCAAACCUCCAAUUCCAUCUCCAUUCUCUGAAAUUUGAAUCGUCUUCUCCAGCUAGCUAUUUAUUUUUUAUUGUGGUUUUAUGUAUACCGUAUCAAGUGUAUAAUUAUUCUCCAACUGUUGAUUUGUGCAAACGUGAAGCGGUGUAGGAAAAGCUUGAAAUUUGAGCAUAUUCUCCUAUUCUUAAACAGGUAGAGACCAGUAAUCCAAACUAGACAUAAUCAUGGAGAAAUCUCAAUACUUUGCUGCUGCAAUUCUUUUGAUAGUCACUCGAAUGGUGUGUUUGGCCGUGUCGGAAACGAAUGUCACUACAGAUCAAGCUUCUCUUUUGACAUUGAAAGCACAAAUCUGUUUAGACUCUUCAGGAAUUCUGUCGAAGAACUGGUCAUCUUCUGCCUUGGUUUGUGACUGGAUUGGAGCCACUUGUAGUUCUCGCGACCAAAGAGUGGCUGCAUUGGAUAUUUCUGGUAUGAAUCUUACUGGAAACGUACGGUCUGAUUUGUGAAAUCUCUCUUUCUUGUUUCUCUCAAUGUAAGUCACAAUAAUUUUUAUAAUACUCUGCCUGAAAGCUUAGCUCAAUUGCGUCAACUAAGAAUAGUUUAUAUCAGUUUCAACAAUUUCAGUGGACAAAUUCCAUCGUGGUUUGGUUUCAUGCCUGAACUGAAAGUUGUGAAUGUUAGAAAUAACAAUUUUACUGGCUUCAUCCCACCCUCACUAUUUAACAUAUCUAGUCUCCAGGAUUUGGAUUUGUCUUUCAAUUCCCUACCAAGAAGAGUCCCAGAAGACAUAGGAAAUCUUUCAUAUUUGAAAACGCUGAAAUUACAAUACAACAGGCUUAUUGGUGUAAUACCGUUGACAAUUUUCAAUAUCUCCACAAUGGAAAGUCUUGCUUUGAUAGGGAAUAGUUUGUUCGGUAAUUUCCCUGUUGGCAUAUGUCAUGGACUUCCAAGAGUCACAGGGCUUUAUCUAUCUUCAAGUGAAUUGGAUGGCGAUAUUCCUUUGUAUCUAUCAGAAUGUUCACAACUUCAGCUCCUUUCCCUGUCACACAACAAAUUUAGCGGAUCCAUUCCAAGAGAAAUUGGGUGCAUAAGGAUGCUUCAGACUUUAUAUCUUGUUUCAAAUGAUUUGUUAGUUAUUUGAAUCAUCAUUGAUGUUGUGUUAGUACUUCAAAUUCUUAUUUAAAAUGAUUUU